rnacentral:rRNA from 1 species
UACGGAGGGGGCUAGCGUUGUUCGGAAUUACUGGGCGUAAAGCGCACGUAGGCGGCUUUGUAAGUUAGAGGUGAAAGCCCAGGGCUCAACCCUGGAAUUGCCUUUAAGACUGCAUCGCUUGAACAUCGGAGAGGUAAGUGGAAUUCCGAGUGUAGAGGUGAAAUUCGUAGAUAUUCGGAACAACACCAGUGGCGAAGGCGACUUACUGGACGAUUGUUGACGCUGAGGUGCGAAAGCGUGGGGAGCAAACAGG